UUUGAUCAAAUCAAAUUACAACCAAAAUCUAAUCUACACAUUCCCAUGGUUCAAACAAAUUUGAAACGGCCUUUUCACAUAGCUCAAUUAUAUUAGGCUUAGGUUCAUAAUCACCCUUUAAUUAAUUAACACAUUAACUAAUUAAAUUGAAUGCAACAUUUUCAUUUGGUUUUUGUAUCCAUAAAAUUGAUUUAAAUGGAGCUAAACAAAAUGAAAAUCCAAUUCUCAUUUAAAGAGACAAAACAAUUUUGUUUCUCUACCUAAUUUGGGCCAUAAAGCAAUUAACCUCAACUUUUGGGCUAUAUUGCAAAACUUUUGGGUCACUUUGUAAAGACACAAAAGUCCACUACUUCAUGUAAUUACAAUAGAACCCAAAAUUUAAUCAAU
rnacentral:lncRNA from 1 species